CUUAUCGAGAGUGGUUGAGGGAUCGGCCCGAUGAAACCACGGCAACCUGCAAGGCAAGGUGCCAAAUCCGACGUAUGCUGAGUGCGGAAGUGA
rnacentral:ncRNA from 1 species